AUGAGCGACGAGGAUCUCUUGUUCAACUUCUUAUCCGGGCUCAAACCUUGGGCGGUUCAAGAAUUAAGACGGUCCAAGGCCGACGACAUCUCGACGGCACUUAAGGUAGCUGCCACAUUGGAGGAAUAUACUAGUGCUGACAAAGGGGUUCAUGUCAAGCACCAAGGCGAAUCAUCCAAGUCUAGGACACAAAGGACUUGGCCGGUUACAGGUGGGGGAGCCAAGUACGGAACCCACAAGCCAAUAACCCAUGGAGACAAAGGGAAACAGGUCAGAGACAACAAGAAGGAGGCCAAACCAAGGGAGGGUUGCUUCCUA
rnacentral:lncRNA from 1 species